AUGUAUGUAUGUGUUAAUAUUUUAUUGAAACCAUUGAUGUCCCUCUUUGCAGAACUCAAACUAACUGGAGUUAAGGACACACAAGUCUGCUUGUGUGAGGAGGUGGUUUUCUCAGCUUCUUCUGAAGAGAGGGAAAGAUCGUUUAAGAUGUUAAAAGCAAGAGACAUAGGAGAGCAUCAUUCCUUUGAGAUUUUAUGUAAGUUAUUUUUAGAAAAUAAAUUUUUCUUUUGUCUCCUGCCAGUUUACUUCACAUUUUGAUGCAACAACAGUGUGAUUACGUGCUCAUUUCAUUAAGACCAUUGAUGUCUGUGUUUUUUAUUGCAGAACUCAAACCAACUUUGGAGUUGUCUGAUUUGGAGAGUCAUUAUUCUUGGUCUUCGCUCUUAAAGGUAAAGUUCACACAAAAAAUCAUUUACUUGCCCUCAAGUCAUUCCAAACCUAUAAGACUUUUGUCUGUCUUUACAACAUAAAUUAAUAUAUUUUUAGUUUUCUCAUAAUAUUUGUUAAUCCAUUUAUAGUUUAGAUGAUCAGUAUUUUCAAGCUUCAUAAAUAUAGAGUCAUUGUAGAUGUAAAUUCUGAUAUUUAUAUAUGAAUACAUCUUAAAUUAUAUGAUAGCAAACAUGUAUGUUCAAAAUAAAAUACUGGUCUCCCAGACCAGCAAUGGAGGACACAAAAAGAGAAUAUUAAAUGUAUUCAUAUGUUUUCCAAAAAAUGAGCAGAUUUUGUAUGAGUCAGGAAAAACAUGAGGAGAGUAAAUUAUGAACAUUUUAAUUAUUUGGUGAACUAACGGUUUGAAGAGCAGCCCUCCAUGUACAUGAAUAUUGUGAGGUAUGUGAAUGUCAUGUCUGUUUUAAUGUUUCAGUAAAGAAGCUUUCUGAAAGCAAUAUUUAUUCAAACAAUAUCGCAUGUCCUCACACUAGUGCUGCCAUUAUAGCAUUCUGGAGCGCUGUGGUGGACUGAGACAUUAAACAACCGCACAAAGUGUUGAAACUUUAAAACCGAUUAUUUACCUAUCCUUACGGAUGUGAAUACACCUCUACCUGAAAAUGGAUAGUUGAAUUAAAUGUUUAAUUUU
rnacentral:lncRNA from 1 species